rnacentral:rRNA from 1 species
GAGCUUGCUCUGUGGGAUCAGUGGCGAACGGGUGAGUAACACGUGAGCAACCUGCCCCUGACUCUGGGAUAAGCGCUGGAAACGGCGUCUAAUACUGGAUAUGUGACGUGACCGCAUGGUCUGCGUCUGGAAAGAAUUUCGGUUGGGGAUGGGCUCGCGGCCUAUCAGCUUGUUGGUGAGGUAAUGGCUCACCAAGGCGUCGACGGGUAGCCGGCCUGAGAGGGUGACCGGCCACACUGGGACUGAGACACGGCCCAGACUCCUACGGGAGGCAGCAGUGGGGAAUAUUGCACAAUGGGCGCAAGCCUGAUGCAGCAACGCCGCGUGAGGGACGACGGCCUUCGGGUUGUAAACCUCUUUUAGCAGGGAAGAAGCGAAAGUGACGGUACCUGCAGAAAAAGCGCCGGCUAACUACGUGCCAGCAGCCGCGGUAAUACGUAGGGCGCAAGCGUUAUCCGGAAUUAUUGGGCGUAAAGAGCUCGUAGGCGGUUUGUCGCGUCUGCUGUGAAAUCCGGAGGCUCAACCUCCGGCCUGCAGUGGGUACGGGCAGACUAGAGUGCGGUAGGGGAGAUUGGAAUUCCUGGUGUAGCGGUGGAAUGCGCAGAUAUCAGGAGGAACACCGAUGGCGAAGGCAGAUCUCUGGGCCGUAACUGACGCUGAGGAGCGAAAGGGUGGGGAGCAAACAGGCUUAGAUACCCUGGUAGUCCACCCCGUAAACGUUGGGAACUAGUUGUGGGGUCCAUUCCACGGAUUCCGUGACGCAGCUAACGCAUUAAGUUCCCCGCCUGGGGAGUACGGCCGCAAGGCUAAAACUCAAAGGAAUUGACGGGGACCCGCACA